UACGGAGGGGACUAGCGUUGUUCGGAAUUACUGGGCGUAAAGCGCGCGUAGGCGGAUUUGCAAGUCGGGGGCGAAAGCCCGAGGCUCAACCUCGGAACUGCCUUCGAUACUGCAAAUCUCGAGUCCGAGAGAGGUGAGUGGAAUUCCUAGUGUAGAGGUGAAAUUCGUAGAUAUUAGGAAGAACACCAGUGGCGAAGGCGGCUCACUGGCUCGGUACUGACGCUGAGGCGCGAAAGCGUGGGGAGCAAACAGG
rnacentral:rRNA from 1 species